CGAGGGGGUGAACAGUCUCCGGCACCAUGUCUGGUUUGUCUGGCGCACCAGCUCAGCGUGACCCUUGCCCGUUAUCACUGCUGCUUUUACUCCUCCUACUCGGCCCCAGCUUGGUGCACGCCAUCUCCUUACGUCCGCCGCUUAACUCCUGCAAGUGCCUCCGCGAGGAGAUCCACAAGGACCUGCUGGUGACCGGCACGUACGAAAUCACCGUGGUACCAGUCUGGGGGCGCUGGCGGCCUGCGAACCCACCUCAAGAUCACAGAUUUGCUGGUCAUAUUCUGUACUCCAAGGAAGAUGCAACCAAGGGGAAAUUUGCCUUUACCACUGAAGAUUAUGACAUGUUUGAAGUGUGUUUUCAGGGCAAGGGAACAGGGCGGAUACCUGAUCAACUCGUGAUUCUAGACAUGAAGCAUGGAGUGGAGGUGAAAAAUUAUGAAGAGAUUGCCAAGGUUGAGAAGCUCAAAUCUUUAGAAGUGGAGCUCCGACGCUUAGAAGACCUUUCAGAAUCCAUCGUUAAUGAUUUUGCCUACAUGAAGAAGCGAGAGGAGGAGAUGCGAGAUACCAGUGAGUCAACACUCGGGUCCUGUACUUCAGCAUCUUUUCAGUGUUCUGCCUCAUUGGAUUAGCCACCUGGCAGGUCUUCUACCUGCGUCGCUUCUUCAAGGCCAAGAAGUUGAAGGAGUAAUAAGGCCCAGUCUCCUCCCACCUUGUAUCGCAGCCAGCUGAACAUCACUGGGAUAUGUCUGACCUAAGGCAUCCUACUAACAGCACCGUCAAGGCACACUGAAGCUUUCUUGCCAGAACUGAUCUCUUUUGGUGUGGGAGGACAGGGGUUACCACCGACACCCAACAAGUCAAUGAGGGACUUCUUUUUAACUUGGUAGCAUUUGGACUGGUUUUGCAACAAUAGGACUAUUAUUAGAGUCACCUAUGACAAAAAAUAGGGGUUACCUAGAUGAUGUCAAAGUCAGCAUUUGUACUGGCUUUCCUCCUGUGAUCUGUUUGAACCACGUUUUCUUUCCUUUUCCUACUCGCUCACCAGCUUGGGCUUCCACUUUAGUUCCUUUACCAAGGUUUGUAUGACCAUGUUGAACUUGUUUCAUUCUGAUUGUCCUCUUUGGAUUUCUUUGUGAAAACACACUUCACUUUCUCUUGACCCUUAGCUGAAAUGUUUAGAUAGCUUCUGGUAAUAUCCUUUCAUAAAUUUAUGUCUCUUAAAAGGGUGAUAGAUGGGACACCUCAUAGAAUUGAGCCUUGAACUGUACAUAACUCUUAAAGAGGACUUCAUUUUAGAGAAUUAACAUAUUUGUGCUCAACUGCCUGAACCUCUUUUGUGUAUUUAUGUAUGUUUAGUUCUGUGCAGUUUUAUCAGGUGUAGAUUUGUGUGAUCACCACCGCAAGAUGCAGAACAGUCUCAAUUCUCGUAUCCCUGUACUACUACCUUUUUAUAACCACAGCCACCUCCCUUCUUUUCCCCAAAGUCCCAAUUUCUGGCAACCACUAAUCUGUUCUCCAUCUCUACUAUUGUCAUUUCAAGAAUGUUUUAUAAAUGGAAUCAUAUAGUAUGUAACCUUUUUUGAGAUUGGCUUUUAAAACUCAGCAUAUUUCCCUCGAAAUCCAUCCAUGUUGUUGCAUGUUAUCAAUAGCUUGCUUUUUUUUUUUUUUUUGCUCAGUAGUAUUUCGUGGUAUGGAUGUACCACAGUUUUGUUUAACCAUUCCCCCAUUGAAGGACCUUGGGGUCAUUGUCAGUUUUUGGCCGUUUCUACUAAAGCUGCUGUAAACAUUGAUGUACAGUUUUUACAUGAACAUAAAUUCUCAUUACUCUGGGAUAAAUGCCCAAGAUGGCAAAUGCUGGGUUGUAUGAUAAGCACGCGUUUAUUUUUGUAAGAAACCGUCCUACUCUUUUCCCGGAGUGACUGCCAUUUUACCUUCCCACCAGCAACGUGUGACCAAUCCAAUUUCUCCGAAUCCUCACCAGUAUCUGCUAUUGUUGUUAUUUUUUAUUUUAGUCGUUCUCAUAGGUGUGUCUAGUAAUACCUCAUUAUGGUUUUAAUUUGCAUUUUCCUAAUGGCAAAUGAUGCUGAACAUCUUUUCAUGUGCUUAUUUAUCAUCUAUAUAUAUCUUCCUCAAUGAAGUAUCUAUUCCUUUCCUUUUUGCCCACUUUCUAAUUAGCUUGUUUUUUCUACUAAGUUUCGAGAGUUCCUUAUAUACCCUAGAUGCAAGUCCUUUGUCAGAUAUGUGGUUGCUUGAGUUUUUAAUAUAACUUCUAGCAAGGAAAAUAUAGGUAAAAUUUACCAACUCUUUUUAUGUGGCCAGUCACUGACUUAAUUCCUGUCCUUUAUGUGUUCCAUCUAGCAAAUUAAGACAUAGGGGGUAUAAAAAAAUAACACAUCUGGGAGAAUUAUGAAUAGAGUAAAUACUUGAAAAUGAAUGUUGCAAAAGCAAAGCCAAGAAUUGCUGUGGGAAUACAAGGUGCCUAAAGGCCAUUAAGUAAGCAAAGGUAUGGAUACAAAUGAUUGUGUUUGUGAACAGUUAGGAAAAAUACUGUCACUAGAAAAUUAGUCCAUUUUGCCCAGGAAAGUGGAUAGGAGUCUGUCCUUUCUGUAAUCUCUUUUAACCCCUGCUGACUGUUACAGGGCUUUGUCUAGUGCAGUGGCAAGAAUUACAGAACUUAGGGCAUAUAGCUUGCAGUUAAGAAGCAGGUGUAUUAGCAUUAACAGAGAACACUGCUGUGAUGACCAGGGUAAAGUACAAAAGUAGAAGAGGGAGUUGAGUGAUGUUGUUAAAAUCUCAGGCUCUUCUGUUAAUGUUCCGGCUACUCUGAACCCCAAAGCGGUCCCCCCUCCACCCUUGUGUGAAUUCUUCUGGUGUGGCAGAGUGGUUCUUUCAUUAAUUUGUGCAACAUUGCCAUCUGCUAGUAGGAAUUGAUAGGUACGGCUUCUGAGAUUCUGGCGACCGAAUCCUCAACGUAAGGAGAGUGGAUGUUGAGAAAGUCCACCUGUGGUAUUACAUAGAGUAUAUGACAGAGGAUACAUCCCAGUAGGGGAGAGAAUAACCAAAUUUGUGGGUCAGAUCCAUUUUUAGGGGUCUAAAGGUCAAAUUUUGUUCUGUACCAUUAGCCUAAUAAGAAACUCAUGUUUCUGACUGGUGCCUUUCCCCUUUUUCAGAAGCAAUGACAGUUCUUAAUUUGGUUAUAUUCUUCUGUUUUGACAAAAUGGCAAAGAAAAGAUAGGAGAGGAGAAUAUUUUAUUUUACUGAUUUUUUGUUCCCGAAUGUGACUUUGUGAAACUGGGAUUUUUUCCAUGUCCUUCCCUUUUACUUUCAUGCCAAAAAUACCAACUCAGACAUUUGUGCUUUCGGUUUAAAGUUCAUUGAUAAUUACACCUUGAUUUUAUCGAAAAAGUAAAAAUUAUUUGUCUUUGAUAGAAGGCUAGUGCAAGAGUAGAUCAGCUUUAAAAAUGGGAAUUUUAUCUGCUUUCCUCCAUUUUGAGCCUUUUCAACACAGUCUAUAUAAUAUAGAUAGGAAUGAUACAGUUUAGGUGCUGUUAUAUCAUUGUCAUAAACUCCUGUCAUAAGCCAUUUUUCUGUUUGUUUAACGGAAAGAGGCAUGUGGGAUUUCUACAGAUUCACUUGUAAAUGUUGGAUUGGGGAUUUUUGUGUAAAUUUUCUCAAAUAAAUGCUAGCAGAAACCAAAAAAAAAAAAAAAGCAGAGAGAAGUCAGAACAAACACAAAGCAGAAACUAAAGGGGUAGAAAUAAUUCAAAACAUAUUAAUAAUCACAGUAAAUAUAAAUGGACAAAGCUAAGCAAUUAAAAAACAAAAACUCUCAAGCAGGGAAAAGAAAUCCAGCUAUGUGAUAUUCAUAAAAAGCGUGAUUAAAACAUAAAUACACAGUACAUUGCACACCCACCACAAAAUAUACAUAGCUUAAGAGUUGUAUCUC